AUUGCCAACCGAGUGGAUAGCGUAGAGAUUGAAACUUUUGCAUUGCGGUUGUGGUUUACGACAUGGAAAAAGGAAUUACCAUCAUACCAGUGAUAUUUUCAUAUCAUCAAAGGAUUUAGUUUUCCACUGUGCCACGAGGCGUAUCGGUGAUGCAAUAAUUUUCAAUUGCUUCGUGGUUACAACAUGAGAUUGAAUCCCACCAAAUGUGCUUUCUCAUUGGAUCUGGAAAGUUUUUAGGAUUUAUGGUAUCAAACAGAGGCAUUGAAGCAAAACUUGAGAAAGUUCAAGCCAUUUUGGAUCCAUAUGAUGAACACGAAUGUAAUUCUCUCUAAACUUUUGAAUGAGUUUUAUAAAAAAUUUCUCUUAUGCUAAACUAGGUAUUUUCAUGUGAAGUAGGGAGAAGGAAUAAUAUACUUACCUUUUUCUUCCAAA